rnacentral:rRNA from 1 species
CCUACGGGCGGCAGCAGUAGGGAAUUUUCGUCAAUGGGCGCAAGCCUGAACGAGCGAUGCCGCGUGAGUGAAGAAGGCCUUCGGGUCGUAAAGCUCUGUUGCGGGGGAAAAAAGGCAGCAUCAGGAAAUGGGUGCUGACUGAUGGUGCCCCGCCAGAAAGUCACGGCUAACUACGUGCCAGCAGCCGCGGUAAUACGUAGGUGGCGAUCGUUAUCCGGAAUGAUGGGGCGAAAGGGGUGCGCAGGCGGUCCUGCAAGUCUGGGGUGAAACGCGUGGGCUCAACUCAUGAAUGGCUUUGGAAACUGGAGGACUGGAGGGCAUGAGAGGGCGGUGAAACUCCAGGGGUAGCGGUAAAUUGCGUGGAUAUAUGGAAGAACACCAGUGGCGAGGGCGGCCGCCGGGCCUGUUGCUGACGCUGAGGCACGAAAGCGUGGGGAGCAAAUAGGAUUAGAUACCCUGUAGUC